CUUGGUCAUUUAGAGGAAGUAAAAGUCGUAACAAGGUUUCCGUAGGUGAACCUGCGGAAGGAUCAUUAUUGAAUAAAACUUGAAGCAGGUUGUUGCUGGCUCUUCUCGGAGCGCAUGUGCACACUUGUUCUUCUUUAUUUCUCCAACUGUGCACAAAUGGUAGACCUUGGUCUAUAUCUUCACAAUCUCUGAAUGUAUUAUAGAAUGAUUUGAUAUCUGGGGAAUAUACAUACAACUUUCAGCAACGGAUCUCUUGGCUCUCGCAUCGAUGAAGAACGCAGCGAAAUGCGAUAAGUAAUGUGAAUUGCAGAAUUCAGUGAAUCAUCGAAUCUUUGAACGCAUCUUGCGCUCCUUGGUAUUCCGAGGAGCAUGCCUGUUUGAGUGUCAUUUGAAACUUCUCAACCACUCCAAAUGGUGUGGCUUGGAAAUGGGGGAAAGUGCAGGCUUUAUGAGAGUCUGCUCCCCUGAAAUGCAUUAGCGGUGUCUGGGCAGACUUUACCACAGGUGUGAUAACCAUUCAAUGCCUUGGUACUGCAGAUUGCUGCCGCUUCCAACAACCUUUCUUAAUGACCAAUUUGACCUCAAAUCAGGUAGGAUUACCCGCUAAACUUAAGCAUAUCAAUAAGCGGAGGA
rnacentral:rRNA from 1 species